AUUUAUUUUAUUAAAAAUAAUUUUAAAAAAAGAUUUUUAGUAUUGUAUAAAGAAAAAAUAAUUUAAACUAUAGUGAAUUAGUAUUGUAAAAGAACAUUGAAAUAUUUGAAAAAUUUUUUUUAUAAAAGAAAACUUUUUGUUGUACCUUGUGUAUCAGGGUUUUUUAAUUAUAAUUUAAAUUUUUGAAUUUCCCGAUUUUAAAAGAGCUAAUAGUUUAUAAAAGUUAUUGUUUUAUAAUUAUUUUUAAUAAACUAUUUGAAAUGAAAUGUUAUUCGUUUUUAAAGGUUUCUGGUUUUUCUAGAAAUAAAUUUAAUUUAUAAUUUAUUGAGUACCUAGUUGUUUUGUUAAUUAAAUAUUUAAUAAAUUAAAUAUUUUAAGGGAUAAGCUUUAAAAUAAAUUUUUAUAAAAUGUUUAAAUAAAAGGAAAAUAUAUGCUUAGAAGUAGCAAAUUUUAAAGAAAUUGUUAUAAAUUAUUCCCUUUGAAAAUUAUUUAAUUGUUUUUAACUAUAUAUAGAAAUAAUUGCAUUAAUUUAAUAUGCAAAGAAAAUAUGAAAAAAUUAGUAUAUUAGAGUGUUUAUAGAAAAUUUCAUGGAAAGUUUGUGUAAAGAACUCGGCAAAAUUUAUAUCCGCCUGUUUAACAAAAACAUGUCUUUUUGAAUUAAAUAAAAAGUCUAACCUGCCCACUGAUAUUUUUAACGGCCGCAGUACACUAACUGUGCAAAGGUAGCAUAAUAAUUAGUCUUUUAAUUGAAGGCUGGAAUGAAUGGUUGGACGAGAUAUAGACUGUUUCAUAUGAAAUUAGAUUAGAAUUUUAUUUUUUAGUAAAAAAGCUAAAAUAUUUUUAAAAGACGAGAAGACCCUAUAAAGCUUUAUAUCUAUAAAAUAUUAAAUAAAUAGAAAAUUUAAUUUAAUAUUUUACAAGAUAUUUUAUUGGGGUGAUAUUAAAAUUUUACGAACUUUUAACCUAUAGAUCACUUAUGGGUGAAUUUUUGAUCCGUUUAUAACGAUUAAUAAUUUAAGUUACUUUAGGGAUAACAGCGUAAUUUUUCUGGAGAGUUCAUAUCGAUAGAAAAGAUUGCGACCUCGAUGUUGGAUUAAGAAAUAUGUUUAGGCGCAGCAGCUUAAAAAAUAAGUCUGUUCGACUUUUAAAUUCUUACAUGAUCUGAGUUCA
rnacentral:rRNA from 1 species